AGUUUAGCUGGUUUGCAUCAGC
rnacentral:piRNA from 1 species